CACCAACACACUUUUGCUAUUCAUCUAAUCAGUAUAUAUUUAUUGAGCACCUUCUUGGCAUAUGGCAUUGUGAUAUGCACUGAGAUUACAUUGAUGAACAAGAAAAACAGUCUUCAUCUGCAGGGGGUCCACAGUUUAUGAAGGAGGCAGACAAGUGAAUGCGAAGAUGCCAUUCUCAGAUAGGGGACGUGGAUAAGGAAAAGGCCACGGAGGAGAAGGCGUGACCUGAUAGGCUUGGGGGCGGGGUGUGGGAAACCGUAUUCUGAGAGAACUGAGGCCUAAGCUGAGAUCUGAAGGAUGAGUUAGAAUGAGCCAAGCAAUAGGGAAGAGGAGUAUUUCAGGCAGAGGAAAUAGCAUGAGCAAAGAUCUGAGGAUCACAUUUCCCCAGCAUUGGAUGAAAACCUGCUGUUUGAGCUAAGAACCAGAAAAAUCCAUACUGAAAUUCAUAAGGAAUCACAAGGAACCCACAAAGCCAAAACAAUCCUGAAAAAGAACAAAGCUGGAGAACUUAGACUUAGGAUUUCAAAUCUUUCAAAGGUUGCCAAGACCAUUCAUCUGGGAAAAGAUGAUCUUUUUAACAAACGGUGUUGCAAAAACUGGAUAUCCAUAUACAGAAGAAUGAAGCUGGACUUUCACUUUAUACCAUAUACAAAACUUACCUAAAAUGGACCAAAGACUUAAACAUAGGAUCUAAAACUGUAAACUCUUACAAGAAAACAUAAAGGAAAUGCUUUAUGUCAUUGGAAUUGGCAAUGUUAGGGUCAGGGUUAGGGUUAGGGUAAUGAUUGCUUGGAUAUGACAGCAAACGCAGAAGUAACAAAAAAAAACUAGGUAAACAGAACUUCACAAAGGAUACUGCUAGGUAAAUAGAACUUCACAAGGACACUAGUGAAAAGGGAGAAGGGAGUGAAAAGGGAGAAAGGGAGAAAAUAUUUGUAAAUCGCGUAUGUGAUAAGGGAUUAAUAUCCAGAAUACACACAGAAUGCCUACAACUCAACAACAAAAAACUCAAUCUGAUUAAAACUUGGACAAAAGAUUUGAAUAGACAUUUCUCCAGAGAAGAUAUUCAAGUGACCAAUAAGCACACAAACAGAUGAUCAACAUCCUUAAUCAUUAGGAAAAUGCAAAUCAAAUCUAUGAGAUCCUAUUAGAAUGACUAUUAAUAAAACAAAUAAUCAAAACAGAAAAUAACAAGUGUUGGCAAGGAUGUGGGGAAAUAGGAACCUCUGAGCAUUGCUGGUGGGAAUGUAAAAUGGUACGGCUGUUUCUCAAAAAAUAAAACGUAGAGUUACCUUAUGAUCCAUUAUGGGUAUAUAUCCAAAAGAGUUAAAAGCAAAAAUAUCUGUACACCCAUGUUCAUAGUAGUAUUAUUCACAAUAGCCAAAAAGUAGAAGCAGCCCAAAUGUCCAUCAACAGAAAAAUGGACAAACCAAAUGCUGUAGGUGCAUACAAUAGAAUAUAAUUCAGCCUUAAAAAGGAAGGAAAUCCUAACAUAUGCUGCAACAUGAAUGAACCUUAAAGACAUUAUAUUAAGCAAAAUACUCCAGUCACAUGAGGACAACUAUUAAGUGGUCCAUCCUUACAAGUAAGGUACCUCGGGUCAUCAAAAUCUAGAGACAGAAAGUGGAACGGUGGUUGUCAGAGGCUGGAGGCAGGAGAAAAUGAGGGAGGAAAUUAAAACUGAUUAAACAGUUAAAUCCACUGUUUAAUGAGUAUGAAGUUUUCAUUAGGAAGAAAAAGUUCUGGAACCACCUGGAGAGGGAUUGUGGUGAUGGCUGCAAUUGUACUUAAUGCCACCGAACUGUAUACUUUCAAAUGGUUAAAAUGGUAAAUGUUAAGCCCUGUAUAUUUCACCAUAAUUUAAAUACACACACACACACACACACACACACACACACAC